rnacentral:rRNA from 1 species
AGCGAACGCUGGCGGUAUGCUUAACACAUGCAAGUCGAGCGCGAAAGUGACUUCGGUCAUGAGUAGAGCGGCGGACGGGUGAGUAACAUGUGGAUAAUCUGCCUUUAGGACUGGGAUAACCCUGGGAAACUAGGGCUAAUACCGGAUAAGACCACAGGUUCCAUGGAACCAGGGGUAAAAGGCGGCCUUCGGGCUGUCGCCGAAAGAUGAGUCCGCGUCCCAUCAGGUAGUUGGUGAGGUAACGGCUCACCAAGCCGAAGACGGGUAGCCGACCUUAGCGGGUGAUCGGCCACACGGGGACUGAGACACGGCCCCGACUCCUACGGGAGGCAGCAGUGGGGAAUCUUGGGCAAUGGGCGCAAGCCUGACCCAGCAAUACCGCGUGAGGGAUGAAGGCCU